rnacentral:rRNA from 1 species
CGUACGGGUGAGUAACACGUGGGUAAUCUACCUCUUAGUGGGGGAUAUCUCUGGGAAACCGGAGUUAAUACCGCAUAAGUUCGAGAGAAGAAAGCAGCAAUGCGCUGAGAGAGGAGCCCGCGGCCGAUUAGCUAGUUGGUGGGGUAAAGGCUCACCAAGGCAGAGAUCGGUAGCCGGCCUGAGAGGGCACACGGCCACACUGGCACUGAAACACGGGCCAG